GACAGAGGCCUCAAGCGUUAGGCGGAAUCACUGGGCUUAAAGCGUGCGCAGGCGGUUGUGUAAGACAGAUGUGAAAUCCCCGGGCUCAACCUGGGAACUGCAUUUGUGACUGCACAGCUGGAGUGCGGCAGAGGGGGAUGGAAUUCCGCGUGUAGCAGUGAAAUGCGUAGAUAUGCGGAGGAACACCGGUGGCGAAGGCGGCAUCCUGGACCGACACUGACACUGAGGAGCGAAAGCCAGGGGAGCAAACGGG
rnacentral:rRNA from 1 species